GUCCUUGGCACAACGAAGCGACGGAUUGUGCAGACCCUUCCACGAAUGCUUGGCUCCGACCUCGUCACGUACUUCUCCGGUCAUGUGAGUAUGUGGCUAGGCGUCUCCCUCCUGCAAUUGGCCGACAUCCUCUGCAAUAUGUACAAGAAGCUCUGCUCUUUGAGAGAACCUGCAACUUCGAUGCUGACACCGUUUUAAGGACACAACGAAGAUGGAUCGCACAAACCAGUAGUUUACCAGAAGAAGUGUUUGUUAGCAAAUCUCAUUUCUUAUUUUCGUAUGCUU
rnacentral:lncRNA from 1 species